rnacentral:rRNA from 1 species
GACGAACGCUGGCGGCGUGCCUAAUACAUGCAAGUCGAGCGGACUGAUUAAGAGCUUGCUCUUAUGACGUUAGCGGCGGACGGGUGAGUAACACGUGGGCAACCUGCCCUGUAGAUCGGGAUAACACCGAGAAAUCGGUGCUAAUACCGGGUAAUAUCUGAGAUCACAUGAUCUUAGGUUAAAAGAUGGCUCCGGCUAUCACUACAGGAUGGGCCCGCGGCGCAUUAGCUAGUUGGUAAGGUAAUGGCUUACCAAGGCGACGAUGCGUAGCCGAUCUGAGAGGGUGAUCGGCCGCGCUGGGACUGGGACACGGCCCAGACUCCUACGGGAGGCAGCAGUAGGGAAUCUUCCGCAAUGGACGAAAGUCUGACGGAGCAAAGCCGCGUGAGUGAUGAAGGGUUUCGGCUCGUAAAGCUCGGUUGUUAGGGAAGAAACAGUACCGAACGAACUAGGUCGGUACCUUGACGGUACCUAACCAGAAAGCCACGGCUAACUACGU